AGCUUUGCGCAGUAGCAGUGUCAUUAGCCAAUGAGGUUUAUCUGAGGCGCGAUUAUUGCUAAUUGAAAACUUUUCCCAAUACCCUGCCAUGACGACUUGCAAUAUAGUCGGCAUUGGCAAUUUUUGACAGUCUCUACAGAC
ensembl:snRNA U4 U4 spliceosomal RNA